GCCCGCGCGGGAGCGGAGCGGGAGGAGGGGGCGGCGCGGCGCGGCGCGGCGCGGCGCGUCGCAGUGCAGCCGUGGCGGCGGCCUGGGGAGUGCGGUCCCCGGGUUCAGGCUGGAGGCGCUGGGUGAAAUGCGUUCUGCUCCGGAGCUACGAUUCUCGAAGCGGUCGGGGGGCGUUCUUAGUUGGAAAAGCGACGUCUCCCAGAUGAGCUCGGAUGGAUAGCGGUUCUGGGUCGCCCUCUUUGGCCGUGGGCUUGUGGCAAACUCAUUUGCUGCACCCUUUCUCCUCACGCUUAAAGAAGGGGCGUUCCUUUUUUCUUUCUUUCUUCUUCUUCUUCUUUUUUUUUUUUUUUUUUUUAAAUCGGGACUUUUUUGACCAGCGAGCCUGAAAUGGAGAUGCGGUGCAUCUCACAGUUUGUGUCACUUCCAGGAGGCGAUGAAAGGCAGCGCUUUGUCGCUGCUGUGCAGCGAUACAGGCGGUGAGGUGCUGCUCUCACACAGUCGGCGCUGAGGAACGGCCACCUGAGCGCUGCCCUGUCCGAGUGCACAGGCAGAACUGGAGCUCUGUGACUUCGUGUCUCUCUCAGUAAUAAUCGCUUCUCGUUGUGCAGUCUGAGUCACGGUGUGAAGUCCUACUGAAACCCACAGCGUCCCCCCCUCCACCUGGGCACAAAGCUCCCCGUCUGUAGGUGCGUUUUCCUACAGCCCCUCACGCCCAGCUGAUGGCUGCCCCCCUCUCCUUCCCACAGCGCUGCUCCUAAUGCUUGGCCCGCUCCCUCUUAAAGGUAGGCUGGAAGAUUUCCCUCUGGCUUUUAUUUGGGUUUCUUCAAGCAACCAGAAAAGGGGGAAGGAAAACAAAACCAAAGCAUUUGGGGAAAAGAAACCGACACAACCACACAAAAACACGCCCCAGUGCCCACCACUGUGAAGAGAACUGACUGACCGCAGGCCUCCAGGAGCCUCAAGUAUGCGCUGCUAGUUCCCGGCCAACCAUUUGCUUUGAUGGUGCUGUGAGUGAGCAGAUUGACUUGACCCCUGUUUUGUUUGUGCCUGACAGUUGUUUCCAGGAUGAAGCGUAAGUGGAGCUGGGGAAGGGAGAGGCACUGGAAGUAAAUCAGUAAAAAAACAACAGAUUUCUCAUGCUUGCACUCUUAACCUUACAUCCGAUGCCCAUGCAAUCAAUUCAAAGAUUUUAGUUGUCUUUUGGUCAGGCCCUCCAAGAACCUUUAUUGCUAAAAUGCUGCAAUGGGUAAAGUACAUCUUAUGAGAGCUUUUUGAGACACUUAGGCUGCAAAUUUCCUUUCCUGUUAAGGAUCUCAUUGCUGCCACAGUGCGAGAGAGGAUGAAGCAUAUUUCAACAGAUGGAAUGUUCUUCAAGUGAGCUGUUUCAGUUUGAUUGUGGGUUUUUUUUUUCCCCCUAUGUUUACUCUAACCCUAUUACUUGCACUUCUGUUGGCAUCUACUGCAAAAAUGACUGCAAUGUCUACAUUUGGUUUUCAAGUUCUGUGUUUUAAGACACCCCGCAGUUUAAGUGAAUAUAGGGAUAUCUGUAUACUAAGCUCCUUUUAGUGCAUGCCAUUGCCCAGGUCAGCAUUUGCAGCUUCUUUGUGCUCUGAGUUGUAUAUCAUAAUCGAUGAAAGCACAAACCAACCAGAUCCAAGAAGCGUGGAGUUACACUUGCUGUGAAGUGUCAUUGGCAAAUGCCAUCUGCCCAGCAGUUGUAACGCAACUCCACCCUUCUCCUCAGUGUGCACAAAGAUGUGAGCAGCUUUCAGUUUUAAAAUGAGCAGAUAACGGAGGCUGAGUGGGAGAAGGAAAGGAAGGAGGCUUUUGCAUGUCCAAAUGUGUUGGAGCAGGAGAGCAGAGACAGAUGCUCAUAGCAGACCCCUGUGGCUGAUGAGCAGAAGGCUUGUCCUGCAGGGAAAGGUCAGGUGGAGAGGAAGGUUCUGUGCUGACAGAAGGGAGAAAAACAAGCUCCAUCUGUGACUGUGCAUUAGGCUUGCUGGAAGGCUUGUACUGAAAUCCAGGAACCCCCUGUGUGUGCUGGUGAGGACUGGUAUUUGCUGGUGAGCAGCCUGAGUCAGGGAAUGAUGCUGAAGUCUCUCUGUUCCUCUUUCAGGCUCCUACCUGCGUUUGUUAGCCUACUCAAGACUCAUUCUACUUAUCAACCCUGAAGCAAUUUUUGUUUGUUUGUUUUGUUGGUUGGCUUAUUGCUACCCCUGAGAACUGAAUAGUGUAGGGUAUACCUCAGGCUGUGUCCUGUUACCAGACUUACAGCCCCAUUGGCAUCAAAUCCCCCAUAGCUCCGGAAACAGCACACAUCUGAUUACCAUAAUUGUGUCCACACCGAGACUUAUGCCAAUGACUCUCUUUAGUAGAGAUGCUGAAUAUUAAUCAAGAAGUUGUAGCAAUAUAUAUAUAUAUAUUAAGGAGAAAUGUGGUUUUACUUUCUUGUGAAUGUUUCUCAGAGGUGUCACUUAAGGAUUCUCUGUAAAUUGAAGUGAUCUGGCUUAAUCUGCAUUGGCAGAAUUAAAGCAGGGUGGGGCCUGUGGCAAGGUUACUGUUACACUGGUAUUUCCUAUUCAUAGGUAUAGACCAGCACAAAAUAAACAGGACUCUUGGAUUGGUAGCCACAUGGCAGGGGCUGUGUGGAUGUAAUGGCAUUAUGGCACCAAUAGGAAGGUGACUUGCUGAUGCCCUUCAUCCUUAGUCUUAGCAGUGAGUGAUCCCACUCUGUCCAUGGCUCACUGACCCUCUUGCUUGUCUUCCCACAAAUAAAGCUAGUUCAGUUCACUCAUGCUGCAGAAGAUUAGAAGUACUGGUGGUACUGAUUGAGAAAAGUAAGCAGUUCUCUUAGGUGAAUGAGCUGAAUUAUUUCCCGUGUGUUCUGAUCAGCAAAAGGGCCUGACAGGGCAGCCUGAAGAGGGAGAAGUGGAAGCACUACCUGUUUGGGUGGCAAUAAGCCACCAAGUAGCUGCGGGGUAAGGCCAGGUGGUACAUCUAAGGCAGUAUUGUACCAGAAUUGCCACAUUUGCUUUUCCCAGUGCAGUUAUUUCAGUAGGGUUGUAGGAAGAUGUCAUUUCUCACAUACAGCUUUUUGGCUGUUUGUCAGUCUGAAGACUGCUGUUCCCAUCAAGCUGCCAAUCUGUGGAAGCACAUCCUGAAGCCCUGUCAGGCAGAAAUCAGGCAGGAUGGUUUGAAUGGUAGGUCUGAGUUUGAAUACUUGGUCUGGUCUCUUCAGAAGUGAAAGGAGUGCUUGCUGGAUCUGCUCCAUAGACACUUGGAUGAGGCUGGUAGCCAGCAGAAGGGCUUGGGAUGGCAAUAGAUUUUACAGCAGAUUCAGGAGAUGCAAUGUGUUUAUAGUCAAAAAUAGGGAAAAAAAAAAAAAAUCAGCUCUGAAUCCAAAAUAUAUCAUGCCCUUGCAAAAAGGAGUAUUCAAGCCUUCUUUGGAGUAGUGUUCAGGCUACUUUAGUGUACAUUUUUCAGCCCUUAAGUUGCACUAGUCUUUCAGUCCUCAUACCAGCUUGAGUUAUAUCUAUCAGCCUUGGGUCUGAGGGCAUUUGAGCAUGUGAAAAGGAGUCAGAGUACAAGAACUGGACUUUGAGUUGUGAAUUUGGCUUGCCGUCUGCUCAGCAGGCUCAAGGAAAUGGAGGAAUACAGGAAUGCAGAGUAGUAUCCCACAGGAAAGGUCAACUCAGUGGAGUUGUGGGAGGUGAUUACAUUUUUCACUUACAACAGAAAUCAAAGUAGUUUUUUUAAGUUGAAUAAAGUAUACUCAAAAGGAACAUUCCAAUAAUGUAUUUGGGCCUUCUGGAGGUAGCCCUAAAUUUGGCCGCCAGUCCAGGCUUUUCUCUUCUUCCUUCUGUCCGUCUUGUUAAUUAUUAACCUAGUGCAUUGGGAGCUACAUUCUUCUAGGUGACUCCUCCCAUGUUUCCAACCUGGGCAACUUGUCUUGCGUUAUUAGUCUGCAGACUAAAAUUGCUCCUUCAUGAGGUACUGCACUCUGGAAAGAAGCGGGCAGCAGAGUGUACAGAAGGUGUGUCAUCCAGGCCUCGUGGCGUGUUAUAAUACAAGAACUGUCUUGCUUAUUCAUUAUGCUGCAUUCUUAACUGACCUUUACAGCAUUCAGUAAAAUGGCUUCAGGUUAUUGUGGACUUUGUGGUCUUUUCAGCACAUGCAAUUAAUGAGGAGGGAAAAAUAAAUCUAGCAUCAGAAUGAGUAUUUUACUGGAACUGAGUCCUGUGCAUAAUUUAACACUUUGGGGAGUGAACGUUCUCUGCUUUCUUGAAAUAAUUUAGAGGCAGUUUUGAAAUAGAACACAUUUGUAUAAAUGUGCCUUGGGAUGAAAGAUCUCGUAUUUAGUUUUCUCCUACAUUACAGUCUAUAGGAUGUGCCAUGCAGUAAUCUCUAAACUGUGAUUUGCAAAGUGUUUCUCUUGUAAGUAGACUGAAAAUAAUCUUCCUGGCAUAAUUUCACCCCCCUUCCCCUAAAUAAGGGACUGCGGGAUAAAAAUCCAGUGCAGUGUAAUAUUGUAUCUGUAUUGUAGAUGGGAAAAGAGAGGUGAAGCUUGGCUGAAGGUGUCCUCAGUCUAGUGGUUCACAUUUUUCAGUACUUAGCAAGGAAAGCAACUGUUACAACACAUGGAUUUCUCCUAAACUGUAGCCUUCAGAGUUACAGAUCGCUUUUGAAACCUGUCCCAGAGUUACCCAGUCAAUCUGCAGGAGAACCAAGCGUAUUGUUCAAAGGCACUCCUUUGUCCUCUCCACCUUAGUGGGACAGCUGGCUUUAUAGAUCAAUAGUGAGAGAUCCCACACUGAUAAAAUCGAUAAUACUGGUAUGACAUUUACAUGAAAUUGGGUAUGAAAUUUGCAAAUAUGCCCAUUAAAUAUAUUGUGCUGUUUACAAAAAGCUUUGUUUCUCUUAAUUCCUUCUAAGAUUAGCUUAUUUAGGAGCUGAUACUGUUAACCUGACUCUUGGAAAAGCCUACAAAUUCCAUUGAAGGGCUGAAGGAGCUCUCAGCAUGCACCAGAGCAGCAGAAUCUGGAUCUCAGGCAACAGACUCUGGUGAUGGCAUUUAGUGAGAGCUUUUUGCUGCAACUGUUGUGAUGUUUUCUCAGCUAAGAAUAUGUAGUUGUAAUAAGUUUUUCAUGUAUGCUUUCAGUGCCAGUGAACAAAAGCUUUUUUAAGUAAAUGAACACUAAUGCUGUUGUUUGAUGUUUUUUAAAGCUGUGGCUCAUUUAUUUUAAAGUUAAAUGAAACCUGUUGAGUAAGUUAGGGUGUUGGUUACCACACUUCAGACUACAGUAAUUUACACUCUUUUGCCAGUGACCUCAGCAUUUACCUGCAUAUGUGUUAUCUGCCAGAGAGCAGAAGCUUUGAAUUUCUCUAGGAUGAGGAAUCCUGUAGAUUUGUACAGACAUGCAUUUUCAAAGGCCGGGUCAAAGCUACUUUUUCCAGUGUCAAGGGACACCAUGCUUAUACCCCCUGCAUGAAAGAGAUUGUACUGAGUUACCCUCCUGUGCUUUGGGGCUGCAGGCUUGGAGCUAUGCACAGAGCUGAAAGCCAGAACUAGUAAAUUCAUUCCCUAGAUGGGACUGAGGGUUAUAUCCCAUGUAAGCUUUAGAGGGCAAGUUAGGACUCAAAUGGAGCAGGAAGUACACCAAGCUAAGGUGUCACCAAAAUAUCCCUUGGACACUUGCAUGGUUGUCCCAGUCUGGUCUGCUCAGGGAACAAGCCCAUGAUGAUGAGGUAUCAGAACUUUCAUUCAAUCCACCUCUGUGCAUUUUCAUUUGGCAUCUUGGAGGUGAGUUGCUGUUGCUCAGAGGAAACCUGCAGCUCCAAAGCCUGAACCUGAUAGCUCGCUUUGUGGAGUUACACAGUCAGGUUCCUGGUUCAUCAGAUAUGGCUGACGUCAUUUUCCUAUUGAUCUGGUAAGCAAGAAUUUUCAGUCUGCUGUUUUCAGGGUACGGAACGUUCAGGACAUCAGCAAGGAAUGCUUCUUUCUGGAGCACAAAAGCAACGCAGCCUCCCUUCCUAGGACCACUGGAGCAGCCUCCCACUGAUCGCCCCAGAUUCAUGGGGAGCUGCUGUGUUUUGUUCUUGUCAACGGAGGCUGGUUUGGCCUGGUUCCAUGACUAGCGGGGUGGAGGGACCCACGGAUCCACGCCCUGGAAAAGGGAAACAGGGAAAAGGGUUGAGAGAGGGCCCAAAAACAAAACAGCAGCAACAAUCUGAGGAGAAACAAACUAUUUUAUUAAAUAAGAUACUGGGAUGCAAGGUAAUGCACUGUAAUACAGUAUAAUUAGAAUUGUAGCUAGUAAAUCAAAUAUAAUGGGAGAGUGUCCGAAAGCUGAAGGCCUUACUCUAAUGCUGAGGCGAGACAAUCUAGGGAGCACCCACACUGCCGAGAUGAAAAGGGAAGGGCAGAAAAUGUUUUGUGGAUAGUAUUUAUCUUCUCUGCCUGAGUGGAAAUGGUAACAGAACAGUGAACAGUCCUCUGGGGGAUGUAGUAGUUCUUCUCUUCUGGGACAGGUACCCAGACCUGGAGCAUUAACUCUUUAAUUCCCAGUGCUACGUGAUGUUAUGAUGUGGAAUACUGAUAACCAGGCAUCAUGAAGCUAUGACAGUUCUUUUCUCCAUUUUGUGUCUCUGUUCACCCAGAGCUGGCUAUCUUUCUGCCCCACUCUUGGCACAGCCCUGAAUGUAUUAGUGGCCCAUGGUUCCUGGAGAAACCCGAGGUGGAACCAUGUGCUUGGUUUUGUCUAUUUAAUUAUCAAAACUGGGAUUUUUUUUAUACUGGUAUCACUACUGCUACUAGUGAUAGGGUUUUGUUUUGUUGGGUUUGUUUUGUUUUGUUUCCUUUUAGGGUGUAAUUGAUUGUAAAGUAAACUAGAAUUUUGCCAGGAAUUAAUUUGGCCAAGUGUUCUCAGAAGUGCAGAACACUACCAGUGAAAACCAUAGACUAGUCUGGAGAGAUGUUGUUCAUGGUCAGGGGAAAGAUAUUUCUGCAAAGCAGACAAAGGCUGCAUCAAACUACUUGCAUGGAAUAUCACACUGAGAAAGAAAAGCACCUGUUGCAGAGUAGAGACUCCGAUUUGUGAGACUGAAUACCUUAGGUACUCUUCUCUUGCCUGGCUGAGUUGUGUGCGUGCACUUUGAGCUUGAAUUCUCUCACAGUCAAAUCUGAAAUUCAUUUGUUUCAAGUGGUUACAUGUACAACCAAGGAAGUGCCCAGGCAUCUCAAGUGCUUGAAGAAGCUCGCAACAGAAAUAAAACAAACCAACAAAAAAAGCUGUAAAGACUGAUAAAGAGAUUAACUGAACAAACUGAAUAUCUUACCAUAUUUGUAUUUCCCAUUCAACCCAUACUAUAGCAAACAAUACCUUGUAGCUGGCACUUGGAAGAAAAAUGCAUAGACAAGAAAUACGGAAGUGAAACCACAAGACUGUAAGUGAAGUCCAUUUACAACUGCUUCAGUAAACAGUUCGCACAUAUGAAAAGUUAAGGCUGACAAUUUCACAUGGACAGCUGCGGUUCUGUAAUGUGUUAUCCCUCAUCAAACUGUGAAGUAAUAGGAAAAUGAUAUGCUGACAGUUCCUAUCAUUAUCUCAUAACUCUCCUGGGCUUUAUCGCUGGGCUGUUGCAGAUUUACUGUGUCACCUUGGGCAAGUGAUUCGAACCUGUGAUGCCUCGGUUUCUACUACUGCAAAAUGAAGGCAAUGCGUAAAGGUGCAUAGGGGUGAUUUGGCCUUUGAAAGAAGCUUGCAAAAUCAAAUUGAGAGCUGUUGAAACAGCCCACCUGUAAGAUGGCAAGAUGCUAUUCUGUGGGUUGUGUGUAAAAGAUUGUAAUAAAAAAAUAGCUUCGUUUCUUAAUGUCAGGACAUGAACCUGUGGUCUUGGCCAGUAUCCAUUCGUAAAAUUCAUGAUGCUAUGCGCAAGUUGUUGCUGAAAAUGUCUGCUGUCGUACUGUCAGGCUAACUUAGUAGCACACAGGCUCUCACACCUGUAGUGUAAAAUGGUGUACUUUUAGCAUGUCUUCUACUUGGUUCACUUUGUAUCACAGGCUGAGUAGAGCUGACUUUCCCUCCCUCCCUCCAUCCAUCCAUCCUUCAAAUGUAGUUUUGGUGAGGGAAGGACCUGUUUCUGAAUUCAGUGGAUAUGCUCAUUCAAAUGUAGGGAAAGUGCUGGAAAAGUUAAACGUUUCAGUUAAAUUCAAGGUUAACUGAGUAAUAAACAAUAAAAAAUUGAUAAAUUGUUUUUUAUUUUGGGAAUUAUCAAAUAAAACAAUAGUAAAGUUUAGGAAGGAAAACAUUGCCUGAGGUGGGUUUUUCUGUUUCUGUUUUUGGUUUUGUUUUGUUUUGUUUUUUUUCUUUUAAUUAAAAGGAAAAAAAAAAAAGAUGUCUGAUCUAAAUUGCAAAUAUUGUUUUUUGCUUUUGUUUAUUUGUUUGUUUUUUCCAUAUCCAUAAGGACAACAAAUGAAGAGGCAGGCUAAUCAUCGUGGGGCACUGUAAAGUGGAAAUGUAUGCCUAUGAUAAGGGAAAACAGAGUCUCAAAACAAGAGCUAAUUCAAGUCAGAACCUAGGAUCCAAACAUGGAGUGCAUUUGAGGACUUCUGAAAUCCAAACGUUGGUACUCCAGGAUUAAAGAAUAAAGCAGAACAGAGACUGUUCUUUAACGUUUGUCUUUCUGUUCUUCAACCUUUCAUCUUUAGUUGUCUAGCUCUUUUUCAGUAGCUGUAGUGGCCACUUAGAUGGUCUCUUCCUUCCAAAGCAAUUCUACAGAAGUCAGAAACUGGUGGACCUAUUCUUUCUGUCAAGAGAUUUCCACUGAAUCUCUGUCACUUGAUGUCAACACUAUUUCACACAUUAGGGCUGUCUUUUGCUGCACCAUUGGCGAUGAAAGUCUGCUUGGAGUGGACGUGCUGCGACAUGGUCUGCAGUGGGACACGCUACCACCUUGGCUUUGAGAAAUAUCAACAGCAGGAGCUUUUGAUUAAUUGUUAUUAUUUAUACAGUCAUUAUUUUGGAGUAUUUUGCUAGAGUACUGAAAACAUCACUGUUUUAACUUAGUUGGGAAAUUGAACAUUAUGUAAUGUAUUACUGUAUGUACAUUACAAACGUAUUACUGAGGUUUUGAAGUAUUGUAUGGAUGAUUCUCUUCUAUUAAAUACUCUCAUUCAUCAUGUCAUCUUGUCAUUAUACAGAUAGCCUAGCCUAUACUUUUAUUUAUUGCAGGUCUGAUCUUCAGUUUUUCAUGUGUUUCGGUUUUAAAUGGAAACUAGCAAAUGGAAGGUAUGGCCUAUCUUUCGUUGUUGUCUUUCUAAAAGAAUAAUUUGGACCUGAUAAGGGAGGGAACAGCACAGAAAAGUUCUCUCACAGGGACUUGAAAGCCUUUCUAGCACCUGGUGACAUUCUUUAGCAUGUUUUAUUUGGGAGUGGACACAGGGAAAAUGCCUUUGGAGACUUUGUUACAGUUUUGGCCUCUAAGAAGAGAGUGGGUGUUUGACUGCAGGGCGGAAAUGAGAAACAAAGAGCAAGGUUCACCCCUCCCCAGUGCUGUCCCCUCCCAGUGUCUUUGAAGCUGUUCACUUAUUAGAAAUGGUUUUCUUUGGAGUCCUGUGUUGUCAGAGAGAACUAAAACAGUCGUUUGCUGCUCACCAUUCUUCCGCCUUGCUCCCAACGUUGGUCUGUGCCAAACAUGGAGCAGAUGAACGGGGCAGAGGUUACAUGGAGAGUAUUUGCCUGCUCCUUGAGAUAUAAUCCUCCAGCUCUUCUAAUGUACGCUGACUUCUGGGCCAGUCCUGUGAAGAGACGAACAUCAGAGAGCACUAUGGUGGUCUAGAGUAAGGGAGGUGCCCUGGUGUAGAGUCUGGUAUGAGCCUGAAACAAAGCAUGUAAAAUCCUUUCAGCACUUUGAGCUUAAUGUGAAGGUAUUAAGGGUGAAACUGAUGGCAUUAAAAUGCUUUCUGCUUUCUUAGUUACAGAGCAGGCUGUUUGCAGCAAAGAUUAUAGACCAUGGAAAAUUGAUUUGGGAGCACUGAUGUCGAAUCACACUGCGUUACUCCAUUGAAAUCAUCAUAGGAUCAUUAGAACUGAGUACUGUAUGUGUUUCCAGUGCCACACAGAACACAGAGACACUCUGCUUUCCCAAGGAGAAUUGUCAGGAUACACUGUAGAGCUAUGUAGAACCAAUUUGUGGUCAAAAAUUUUUUUUUUUUGACAGCAUUUGUGAUGUAAUUUGGAAGAACUGAUGAACUCUCCUUUCCCUGAUGGUGCAAGAAGUGGCUUUUUCAAGGAAAGCUGUGCUGGAAAGAAGUGGGAGAUUUAUUCCCACGUAUCUACACAAAAGCUCUUGUUUUCCUGUAACUGUACCGGCUUUAUUUUUAAUUGCAGACGUGAACAAAGACUUAGUACUUUCACAAUUAGCACUUGUAAAUGGACAUGAUGUAAGGACUAACUUUUAGUCAAAAUUCUAUUUUUGUCCAAUUUAGAUGGGUAAAUUCAUGUAGAGGCUAAGACAGUAAUUGAACAGAUGCUUGUCAAAAAAACGUGCCAUGCAGCAAAUUUUCUUCCAGCUUCUUUUGGAAUGAAAGUCUUAGCCUCUUCACUGAGACUUCACCAGACUGUGCCUGAGUCCUUAGAGGUUAACACCUGAAGCUGCUAAUGUUUCCAAGAUAGCCUGAUGCAGCUGGAGUGGGUUGCUCUAUUCUCUGUUCACAACCCUGUCCUAGAAAGGAGCUGCUAAAGCUGUGGAACUUUGGCCAUCACUGAUGGUGAAGUAGGUAAGCUCUGUAGCCUUGUCCUUAAGAAAACUCUUGCCAGUUCUUUGGACAUUGGCAAUGUUGAAUAUGUCUGUUAAGGAUUUUAGGUCUAAACUGUUGUUGUCUGUUAGGGAGAAACUCGGCUGCAGUUCUAGAUUUAAACUUCCCAGGGUUUUUGUUGUUGUUGUUUUUUUAAGCUACAGAUGCCCAUCCCAUCACCAUGAUAGGUGGGAGAGCAGAGAGCAAAAUGGAACAAUGUCUUUAAACCUAGGAGAUAAAAUGCUGGAUCCUUUCUCCAUGGGAUAUUUUAUGAUAGGAGAAAUUAUUCUGUUAUUUGGUACAGUAUUAAUUAAGGUGAAGACGAUGCUGUAGGUCAGGAGACUGAUGUGGUCUUCAGAUCACCUUCAAAUAGGAAACAUAAGUAGGUGCAGCAGCCUACUGUAUGAAAGCGAGCAAUUAGGAAUUUCAGUGAGACACUUAGAAAAAUGCACAAAACAUUGCAAAGUAAAGAAAAGGAAAAGAAAAACGAAAGAGUAAUUCUCAAGGGAGACGUUAUAAGGAGAAGCAAUAAAGCUAUUUUCUAUGCUGCCAAGAGCUGGCCUGUUUCCAGACAUGAUUAGGUGGGGCUGCAUGGCUGCUGGAAUACCUGUAAAUGGUGUGAAUACUGCUGUGUGGCCUGUUUCCUUACAAACCUGUCCCUGGAUAAGAGGUACAGUCUUCAGCUCUAGAGUAAUAGCUGAGAACACAUGGGCAAGAACUGUAGUCAGUACAAAAUUUCACUGAGGUCACUGGUGGCUUUUAGGUGUAAGAGCUUGCUUGCUCACUUUUGAUUGCAGGAUCCUGGGCCUUAGCUGCCAAAAAAUCUUAUGAAUUGCUUGCCUUGGAAUCUGUCAUUUCUCAAUCUUUCAAACAUGCCAGAACUUGGCCAGCAAUGUACUAUUCUUGCUGGACAGGACCAUAUAAAACGUUAAUAUAUACCUCUUUGAGUGAACUGAUUAUUUGAUUAGAUUGUCUCCUAGGGAACUGAUUUGGUGUAAUAAUGAUAGUGAAUGGAAGUGGCUCUUGCUUCACUGGAACAAGACUGUUCUGCUGCAGAUCUGCUCAUUGGCGGGUUCUUUGAUCAGCAUUCAAGGGUUAAGCUAAUGGAAGCUAGCUGGUAUGCAGUGGAGGGUUGAGUAGAAAUUGCACUCCUACCUAUGCCUUUGGUGAGGGAAUGAUGAAAUGAGGAUGGCGUGUGAGUCUGUAUUUUUGCUCUUGUCUUUUGAGUAAUCAGAGCUCUCUCCUGCAACUUUUACAAAGCUGAAAUUCUGAAAUGUCUGAGGUGAUACAUCCAGAAGAGAUAAGCAAGGAGUACAGAGGCAGCAGGAGGUCAGAGCAGGUGACCUGUUUUGUUGUUGUUUGUUUGUUUUUUCAGUUUGGUUAGUGAUUUUUAUGUCUAAGAUAUUUAUGUACAGCUUCCUGUGCCUUACAUUUCUAUACAAUGGGAAUAGUAGUGUUUCCUUUAUUUAAUAACAGUGAUCUGUAGUCCUUGGACAAUGUGCUGCUCUGGUUAAAAGUACAGCGUGAGCUCCUUGUGAUGGGAGGUAUGCUCUUCACAGUGUUUUGGGUAGGACAAGUCAUCUGGUACACAUUCACAGAGUUGCAGUCAGACCUCCCUAGCCCAGGUUUUUCGAGAUCUAUGUGGGGUAGGAAGCGAGACCAGCAGGGGUUAAUGUGGUGAUGACCUUUGCAGCUGGAGUCCAGCUGCUGGUCCCAGCUGCCAGCUGCACAAAGAAGGGAAGGGGGUGGGGAGAAAUGCUGCCAGUCCAAAGGUAAGGAAAGCUUUGCACUGAAGAAAUAAAAGGGCUUUAUGUUUAUUUGCCUCCUGAGAAGCCCAUUGUACUUAAUUUUCCUCCCUGUUCCAUAGUGAAGGAAGAGUACUUUCUAAACAUGAAGGCAUCCUGGAAAAGACAGAGACCAUGCUCUGCAAUAAGAGCAAACAGAGCAGACCAUGUAGAAGAGCCUGAAUGUGAGCUACCCUUCCAUACUGAAGGCCUACAUAUACCUGACAUAGACUUGGAUCAGCUGUUUUCAGUCUAAGCUGAUAUGGUUUGUCUUUGUUCCACUUUAACUUCCUAUUGCUUAAAUGAAAGGUCUUUUUUUUUUCUUUUUUCUUUUUUCUUUUUUUUCUGGGGAUGACUGUGGAACUGUCUCUAAAAACCUGUAUUUUUUCAGCUCUAUUUCUAUAGGGAGUGCAAAGAGAAGCUUAACUGAUUCAUGUAAAGACUAGGAGUAAUAAACUCUAAAAAAAUGUUCUAGAAAUAAUACCAUUACCUAUUUUUACCGUCAAACCUUUCUUCCCUUUCUCUCUCUAAUGUGACAUUUGCUUUUUACACCUCUAUGCAAGGACCUGAAAACAGGCUGUGUGUUCACUGUAAUUAUGAGUCAGCCUUUACCGAUGAUGACUCAAAUAUGUGACUCUGGCACCUGUUUCAUGUCUGUCUGGGUUUUGGAUAGCAUUGAUGGUGGCACGUAAAGCAAAGGUAAACAUGAGUGUGCUCCUUUCCCAGAAGCUAUUUGUUCAAUGCGUUGGAUGAUAAAGAACAAAAGCAGUUAUUAAAAAAAAAGGUGUUUACAAAAUUGCAGCUGCAAUAAUAGGACUUUGUGGGGGGCAUCAGGUAUUGCUUGUUUCAGAGAGGGAGCGGCAUUCAGACUGGGUGCCACUGACUCUAACACUUCCUUGGAGCAUUGUUUUGUCUGUUUUAGGCAAUUCUGGGGAGAGGAGGAGUGAGAAUAAUGUUAGCUAAUCAUAUUAACGCUAGCAAGGCAUAUUGUGAAUGAAGAAUGCUAUUUAAGUGUUCGAUUUACUGUUAUUCUCAAGGGAAAAAAAAAUCUCGAGUAAAAUGCAACUGCAGAUAUGUGAAGGGAGGGAGGCAAAUUUGUAAUAUUUCCAAAAACAGUCAUGAUUUCAGUAAAUGAAGUUUGAAACCAGUUCUUGAAUAGGAAUCCAUCAUUACUGAAAGCAGGGUCAAGAUGGGAGAAGUGCAAGACGUGAAUCUGAGGCAGGCUCCAGCCAAAACCUAAACAAAGGUAAAGCUAAAGAGCCUGUGUGGUUAUUCUGCCUGCAAAUACUGUCCAAGGGCAGGAGUGUGCAGAGGGGAUCGAGUCCUGAUUAAGUAGGUUAAGAGUGGAUCUGCAGCUUAUCAGCUUAUGAAGGCAGGGGAGGAGGAUUUAAGGAUUUGUUCUUGGAACAAAUGGUUUUCUUUCUGUCUUUGUCACUUCUGCCUUUAUAAACCUUUACAACACAUCACAGAUUUUGGAUUUUGCACAUAAAUGCUCUUAAUUGCUUUUACCUGAUUAUGUUAAAGGCAAUUGUAAGGUAAGGUUCUAACACCAACAUAUACACUACUGGCAUGAGCGGCAGUCUUAAAAUCAGGAUACUGGAAUACUGUCACCGUGCCAGCAGCUCGAUAAAACAUUCCACAGGAUUUCCAAGAGCUCUCCAACGUAUCUCCAGUGAUCCCCAUUGGCCUGUUUAUGUCUCAUUGUUCAGGAGUCUAUGUACAAGUGUUUUCUGGUGGUUGGCAUUAAUCAUAAUAGUCAGAACAAUGCCAGAAGCCCAGAGCUGUGGAAGAAAUCUUUAUGGUUGUGGUAGAAUUAACUAGGACAUGUGUUUUUUUGCCAGUUAGCAUGAAUCACAGUCUAUUCCUGAUAAAUGCAGUGAUAGCUGAACUGUAGUGCUUCACUGACAGAGGGGGAAAAUUACAGGUGUUUGUUUUUCCUGUGCUUUUUCAGUGUGCACAUUUGCUAACAUAAAACACAAUUCCAAGAAGCAGUAUUCUUCCAGAGACCUAGGGCACAGUCACAGGGGAAACAUUUGGGAAAUUCUCCCAAAGCACAAUAUAUGCUUCUGUUUACCCUAAAAUGUGUUUGGUUUGGUUUCUUAAGGAAUAGAAGAUACCAUCUUGCACCUGUGUCAUGCGGAAUAUUUUAAGUGGGGAGGAAUAGCACAAUGCACCAAUAUAGUCUAGGGGCCAAUCAGCUGGAAGUAGCUUUGCCAAAAAGGACCUGUGACUGGUCGGCAAGUUGUCUCUCAGCCAGCAGUGUGUCUUGUGUUAAGGAAGGGAAGAGCCUCCAUUGUUGCAUUAAGAAAAAUGUUCCAAGCAGAUUAAAGGAGGUUAUCCAUCCUUUCUGGUCCAGUUCUAGAGUCCUCAGCAUGAGCAAGAUGUGGAAAUAUGGAAGUGAGCCCAGCAAAAGGUUACUAAGAUGAUUAAGGGAUUGGAGCAUCUGUCAUAUCAGGAGAAGCUGAGAGCUGGGCUGAGGAGGCUCCACAGGUUUUUGGCAGUGUGUAUAAAUAUCUGACAGAAGGGUAUAAAGCAACCCAUGGGCUGCCCAGAACAACUACUGUGGCCCGACCCCUGCAACCAUGGCAUCCUGGAGGUGGUUCUUCCCCACCAAGCAGCCCAGCCCAGCCCUGGACGCACAACCAUCAUUCAGCAACAACCAAAACAUCAGCCCCAGACAAUUCCUUUUCUCUCAGUGCAGCCCAGGCAAGCCAAAACGUUGGUCACCCAGGAUAUAAAGCAAAUGGAGACAGGCCUUUUCAAGUAGUGUCCAGUGACAGAACAAGAGAAAUGGGUACAAUCUUUCUACUUUAAUCAGGAAAAAGUUUUUUUAUUGUACGGGUGAUCAAACGUGACAGCAGAUUGCACUAGAGAUGCUAUCUCUGUCCUUAGAGCUAUUUUUAACAUUCAAGUUGUGCAUGGUCCUGAGCAACCUGUCUGGGUGACCCUGCUUUGAGCAGAGGGUUGGGCAAGUCAUGAGUGUCCAACCAUUUGGCUUACCUGGGCUGCACUGAGUGAAGAGGAAUUCUCUUGGGCUACAUAUAAAAUAUAUAAUAUAGUUAACUAUAUAAGUAACAAAAAUUUUAUUGUUUAAUAUAUUUUUUAUUAAAGCAACAAAAAAGGGGGCAACAAUAAAUCAUAAAGCUGGUGGGUUGGACAUGUAUGGACUAGAUGAUUUUCAGAUAUGCUUUCCAGCCAUAACCAUUCUGAUUCUGUGCAGGAAAUGCUAGUUCAGGACAGUGAAAUGAGAAGUGGUUUGCUUCCUUUAAGACCAGCCAGACAAAUCCUGAUUUAGCAUGCUGGAAUGUGCGUGGAGUCAAUGAACGAGGCUCUGAAAAUUUUAGAAAGUUAUUCAGACAUAGGGGCAUUGUUGGUGUGAGGAAAAGCCACAGUUAACUCUGUGUGUUGCUAGUUGCACAUGACCAUAUAGAAGCUGUUGGGUCAGGUUUGUUCCUUGUUGGUCAGCCAUGAUAUGGGAUAGACAAAAGCAUCUUUAGCUUUCUUGGCUGGUUGUGUGGUUGAAGAGACUGAAUUCAAAGCAAGCAUCAUGAGAAGCUUAAGCUAUUCUAAGCCAGGGGUGAGAAAAGCAGGUGCUCACUAGGAAGCCUCAGAAACGAGGUUUGGUGAGGUGAGUGGAACUAUGGGAACAGAGACACAGAUCCAGCCAAAGUAGAAUAUGUUGCAACAGAGGCAAAUUGGCAUCCAGCAGCUUAGCAGCAGCAGCUCACCUGUUGCAUCAUCUGUCCAUGGGGGACUGCAUUACAAGGGAGGCUCCUGUUGGCAUGAUAUCUUGCAUCUUUCAAACGGCUAUAAGAUGGUGCCGCACUAACUUGCAUUACUCUCCUGGGGAGAAAGAACAGCUCUGGCCAUUUUCAGCCCUCUAAGUCCAUGAGUGUUACUUACUUACAUAAUGAGUGCUCCUUUUGCCAGAGUUUUGCAUUGGUUGAAGGACACUUCCCCAGAAAAUCUAGAGCUUCAAGAAGCAAAAAGAUGCAAGUAUUGUGAAAGAACGUGUUAAAAUUUGUAUUUAUGCAAAGAAAUUAGCUAAUAACAAUACAACAGUAAGAAACAGUGUUCAUUUUUUUUCAUAUAUAUAUUUUAAUUUAUUUCCUUUAUUUUCCUUGAAUAGGAGACAGAAAGGAAAGUAAGGUUAUCUACUUCAUUUAGGAACACAUCCAGGGAACAAAUUCCCCUUGCCCUUUCUCUCUUCUCUGCACCUAGCUAACAAGCUAUCAAAAAUUUGGACAUUCAGGCUUAGUAUCUAAAGACAUUCUUUGUCUUUAGAUCAUGUAUAAUAAUCUAAGUUUGAGAAGGUAUUCUAGCUUUAUGUACCCCAAUUUACCUCCUAUUUAUAUUUGGAGUCAGGUGACUGGAUUGAAUUUUUCCAUUUCUGUUCUGUAUCCUUCCCAUCCCCACUAAAUAUUGAUCUUGAAUUUAUCCAGAGAGCGAUUUAAUCAUUUCCCAUAGAUUAUCCAGGCUCAGCCACCUUCUGGUCUUUAUCUUUGAUAAACUGAUAACCUGAGAAGAUUCAAAAUGUUCUUUGUCUUACUCAGUGAUGACAUGACCUCAGCCUGAAGCGUGUCCUUCCUGAAUGUAUAGAUGUGUGAACCGAGGGCCAUACUUCACGUGUACACACAUCUGGGAUCCAGGGGCCUGGUUCUUGAUAGACACUACAUCCUGUGGCAGUUAGCUGCUCUGGCUGACAAAGGGUGUGGAGUGAAGCAGCCCAUUUUCCUAUUAGAGAGAGGCUUCUGCAAAUAAACAGUUGAUGUCUAUGCGACAUGGGUGGGCUGUUCGAGUGUUUGAAAAGGCUUUCCAGAGGACUGAAGCAUUUCAGAAGCAGUGGUACGCUUUGCCCAGAAGCAGAAAUGAGGGGACGGAAAGUUCUUCGUGUUGUGGAGACCCCAACAGCUAAUUAACAAGAACAAAGUGCUCUAGUUUGCCUUGACCACACCUUAGCCCUCUAGGCGAAGCCUCAGAAAUCCAAGGGGACACAAGGCACUUCAUUGAGCUGCAGUAUGCAUACGUGUAAAGCUGCCACUGAAGUCAUCAUUUUCUUUGCUAAAGUCAUUUUAACUCAGACAGACUUAUUUUUUCCCACAAACACAUCAACAAAUAACUUGAUCCCACCCAUGAAUAUGCAAACAAACGUAUAAGUUACACCAAGUGUUUCUCCUCCUGGCUGCCAAAUAAGAAAGGGAGAUUGUUACUGUGACUUCUAUUUUUAAAUACUUGGGAGGUGCUCUACUGCUACAGCUAGAGGGACUGUAUAAUACCUAGGCUCAGUCUCAAAAACACUCCAGUGGUACUGCAGAGGCUCACAGAAAUAGCUGAGUGGUGAAAUUCUCCGCCUAAAUGAUGUUAGCAGAAUCAUACCUUCUGCCUUAAGUUGAAUGCAUGUAUCAACCUCCUUAAGGGUAGCUACCUUGCUAACUGCUAGCAGGCUGCAAAUACCCUAAAUGCUUUCCACAGCUUUGUCGUACGUGAAACACAGCCUACUAAAACAGAGCCCAAACCUGGCCCAGCCAUCCCCCUCCUUACUCUAUUUUGGGCUGUGGCUAGGUGUAUGGACUAAGAUGUUUCACCAGACAGAAGCUGGAAGAAAGGGCCUGUUGUUCUGAAUGGGAGGUGUGCUAUGUGACAUACUGUGCAAAGGAUGUGUGCUUGGAAGGGCUGAUGUGCAGAAAUCAUUAGUAGGGUGUGUCAGUACAGAGGGGGGAACCCAGACCCAGGAGAAAGAGCCAGAGAAGUGAGAGCAAGGGAGGAUGAGGGUGGAAGGAGCAGGGGUGGAGGAGCAGCGACUAAGACUUUCCUCUUUUAGCUGUUGGUUUGGUACAGCCUUCAUGUGAAAUAGCAUUCUCAAUAGACCUUAGUAAUCUGAUCCAAGUAUUCAGUGGACUUAUUGAUAUGAAGAAAAGAGACUUACUACAGAGCAAAUUUGUAAGUGACAUUUAUUCAAGGAUAAUAAAUGAUUCAGUUAUGACAGCUGAAGUUAAUGGCAGCAGUUGGGCCUACAGAAGUCACUGCUGGUUGUAAAAUACCUGAAGAUCAACAAAAAAGCAACCUCUGGAGUGCAUGAACGAGUUUUGCAAUGAGAAUUGCACUUAACUGCUGAUUUGCCCACCUUAGCUAGCUAGAUCUUCAGCUCAAAGAAGCUGAGUUGAAUGUAGAACCUGUUGCAAGAGGUAAAUAGAGACAACUUUUCCUUUCCCUUAGAACUUUGUGGGGCUGGGAUUAAUUUGUCUCAUAUGGGUGGUUCUGUUGCAAGAAGUACCUCAGAACUGAUCCAAGCAGUUCCUGGCCUACACUGGGAGCAAGUGGUAUGAACCAUCUUUACAUCAAUAACACCACAGUUGAAUUGCUCUUGGUGUCAAGAUAUUGCCAGCUCCUCCUUUAUGACAGCCCUUUGCCUGCAGGUACAACACAAAGAGGUUAGUGCUAGGAGGCAGAGCUGAAUUUGACCCACUUUGUUAAAGGGACUCUCAGUAACAGAAAGGUGAUUGUGCAGGAGGAGCAAACAAGAGGGUGUAAGUUAAGGUCCAGAAAUGGACGUUCCUGUUUGCUCUGCCUGCUCCACACCUUUUCUGACCACUCUCCUUAGUUCUACCUGCAGCUUAGCUUCUAGUCUCCCUGGAACCACUAAUUCAAAUCCUGGCAGGAUUACUCAACCCAUCUGUAAUUUUGAGGUUAAAUGAAACUGUAAAACCAAAGAUUCUGUGGCAAAGUGUUUGCCCUGGUAUGCUUAACCAAAGCUGUCCUAAUGCCUUUUGUACGUGGCAUGCUGAGUUCACUGGUGUCCUGUCAUUGGUUCUUCAUUCCUCCUGAUGUAUUAAUUUAUUUGAUUGCUUUACUACUUCAGUAUUAUUAGAUUAGUCAUGUGUUUUGAGGGAGAUAGUGUAAUAUACAUUUACUAUCCACAACUUCUGUCCUAAUUGAUGUAGUUUUGUUGCCAUUCCAGAAUUUACAAUGAAUUGUAUACGAGCUGAAUAUCUGCUCAUUUAACAUAUCCAUUAAUUUUCACAAUGGUACUUUGAAUUCAAUGUUUAAGAAUUAUUAGCUGAGACGGAUUCUUUAGUCUUGAAUAUGAAAUAGGGCUAUGGGCAAUUUGGAAAGGAUAAAUCUGAAAUGUUUUUCAUUAUCUGUCAAGCUAGAAGCAGAUUGGAUGGAGAUUUUGCUCUUUUUCUGUAAGAGAAAAAAAACAACAAAACAUGGGUGUCAAAAUGUGACCCAACCCAUGCUUUCUUAAACUCUCUCUUUAACUUUCUAAACUUAAAAACAACCUUCUGUGUGUUUUUUUUAAAUAAAAUAUUGCUAAAAAUAUUCUCCUGACCUGAAAUCUUUAGCUGCCAAAAUCCAAGUCUUCAAGCAUGCUUUUAUAGCCAAGUUACAAAUCCAUGAAAAAUAGAUUUAUCGUCUAAGUAGAAAUUAACUCGAACGUCCUUAAGCCAAGAUUCACAUAAUUCCUCUAUAUUUCAGUAUAAAAUGUCUGUUGUUCUCCCUUUUCCCUCCCAACUCUUGAAAUGCUGUGUAUAAAAGCCAGGUAUAAAAAUGAAUGCUUUUUAAAAAUAGGUAAUAACUCACACUGUUAAAAGAUAAAGCUCUGUGACCUAAAAACAACUCAAGGCAACUUAUCAUUCAUUUAUUUUCUCCAAAGGUCUUCCAUGCUUUAAGAGAGAUAAUGAAAACUAAGUCGUGAUGAUGUUGCCAAAAACAGUGGUGAAUAAGUGGACUCCCGAGCAAUUGCAGCACCAGCAGCAUUUAACUUGUUGCUCAGGAGUUCAUAUUAUUACUUUUUUUUUUUUUUUUUCAAAUAAAACCCUAGCCCCAUGGGACAAAGAUUAAACUCUCUAGGUCUCUGGGGCUCCUGGAGGGCAAAUCAACAUGGUGGAGGUUUGCCAGCACGUAAAGCUGUUCUUACCGUACCUCAUAUGCUCCAUGUGCUAUUCUGGCUCACGUUCAACUCUCAGUUCAGAAGCCAAUGAAUUUAUUAAUGAGUUGCUUUGUGCAUGGGUACGUGGCCGUAGCAGCUCCUGGGGAGCCCCAGCACCCCUGCAGCCGCUCCUGGGUCCUGCUGCAGCAUGUCCUUUGAAAUCGGUUGUGAGCCCCACAAGCAGUUAGCACAGAAUUGUGAACUGAUCUACCGUAUUUCUAACACUACAAAUGAAGAUACGGAAGCUAAAGAUAAUCCAUAGGAUAAUAGCAUUAAUUAAUUCUUGGUGACUUAUUGGAAAUUUCUGUUUAACCCAUGCGAAUACAACUUUGGUCUCCAAGCAUCCCCACUAUCCAUCCAAAGCCCAUUUCCCACCAGCACACUCUGCUCCUUCCAAAGCCCUUCCUCUGGACGCACCCUAGAAGCACCCACCUCUCCCUAAUUGUGCACUGACUCUGCCUGCUUGACUCCUCCAGCUCUGCCUGCUGAAAUGCUGCUGCCUCAUGAGAACUGCAGAAAACUCGGCUCCAUUUGCACUUCCUACCGAGGGUGCCCUGAUGGGACUCUGGGAGAAUAAAAGGACACAUCAGAGGAAAAGCUAGAUCUGCAGUAGCUCUCUUCAAGAGCCCUGCUCAUUGGUUGGUUGGUUGAUUUUCAGAGCUGCAAAGGAUAGUCUGCAAAAGGAAAUAUCUGCAAGCAAGAUGUUAUAUAACCAGGACCAGUUAACCAUGUGCAUCCUUCCUUUAUAGUGACUCCUCUGUUGUGGAUUCAACCUUCAAGUUACACAUUUUCAGUACAAGUAGAACAUACAAUUUGAGAACGCAAGCAUAAACAGUCUACCUUAUUUAUUCAUACCCCAAUUUGUAAACGAAAAGCAGUAGCAUAACCACUUACAUUAGUCUGACAGUAAACAAAACAAAAGAAGUCUUGAAAUGGGCAAAAAAGCAGUUCUAUAUGUCAUUUAUAGGAAUCCCUUCGCACAAAGAGAUUUCAAAGCCAUUGAUGUACACUGUGCUCUAAGCAAAUUUUUACUCCCUUUUGUGUCUGUGUCUGAAAUAGAGCACAUUCUGACAGACUCUGUACAUUUACGUUGUAUGAGCUUUGUAAAAAAACUGCAAUGUAGAAACUGCUGCAUGGGUUUGUGUGUGUUUUAUUUAAUAAUUUAAAUUAAUAGGGGAGCUAAGCAGACAGAAUGCAUUUGUUAGCUGAAGUUUUGUCAGGAUUUUGAGUUUAAUAUUACUCUUGUUAGUCUGGGACAAGCUUGGAAUAGGCUAGGAAGUAGGAUUUAGGUAAAAGGUACCAUCAUUUUAUGUAGGAGCCAGCCUUCUACAUAGUAGGCUAGAGGACGUCAGCAUUCACAAGUAAGAGCUAAAUCUAAGCAUGUAAUUUGGUGCCUGGCAGUUCAUAUUGACAUAAACACACCCGUUGUGGUCAGUUUUUGUGUUUGGGGAUAGGGCUCGCUACUUUGCUGAGCUUCUGUUUGAGAAUUGUCCUCCCAGCACUAGACUUUGUAACACUGGCUUCUUUCCUCAAGCAUCUGAGCUGUUUGUUUGCCACAUUUUCAUGGUAACAAGUUUAGCAGUGAAGUAGUAGGCUUUGAAAAAGCGUAUUUGAUAAAGACAAUAGCGUCUGUUAAGGGCUGAGGAGGGACUUCUGGUGUGACAUCGUUAUAUGCCACACUAAAUACUUCAAACAUUUGUGGGAAGCCAUUCUUGAAAUGCUGCUAAAGAAAAGAUACAUUCUUACCCUGCCCCCACACAGCUAAAACUCUGCUUUGCUACGUUUAUCCAUUGUAGCUCAUGCAUUCUGUAGGAUUUGUGUACCUUCUAUUCAUAGAACAGCUUGUUUAAAUGAAAACGCAUGCCUGUUUUGCUCUAUAAAAAGACCUUAUUUCUACAGUCUCCUUUGCUUCUGUUUGAGACAGAUCUUCCCUCAUUACCCGCCUCUGUCAUAGUACAACUGUUAGAUGCACACACACUUGAAGAGAAUGGCAGCAAUUAAACAACGUAGGUAUUGAUUUCAUUGCCAAGUAAAGCCUGGAUUCCUGUUUCAGUGUGAUCUUGUACUCUACCAUGCACAGCUGCUGUCACUCCAAGACCUGCAUCUAAGUUAAAUGUAAACGUAGGUGGAACUUUUUUGUUGGUGUACAUGUGCACACAUACAUGUGCAUGGACAGAUGUAGUCUGAAACCAAGGGAAGUCAAUGGAAAGACUCAGCACUGACAUGACUGUGCUUUAUGUUAAGAUUUACAUCUGUUAAAAUUGAUUUUUCUUCCCUUUUGCCUUUAAUGUGUCACCAAACAGAAAUUAUGUUUGUCUCUGUAUAAUGUCUUGGACAAUACAGCUUCUGAAUAGGAUUUUACUGAUUCCUGCAUAUGAAUGUAUGUGAUACAAGUUUGUACUCACCUAGCCAGCCUUCAUCUUGUUUCUCCCUAAGACAAAGAAACUGCAGAACAGAAUAGACUCAAAUAAAGUCAGCUGAAUUAGA